UUUUGCCUCUUCUACGAAACCUCUUCUGCGUUCCAACGCUUUCUCCUUCUCGCAAGGAGGGCUUGCCAACAAAGGGAGAGCGAGAGAGCAAUGCGCUACUGUCGAUUAAGGGGAGGAAGAAGGAUGAUAAUUCGUACGAUGCCAACCACGAUGGUCUAUAAUAAUAAUUCCGCACCCAACACCAACCAAAAUGGUACGCUCUGAGUUAAUGGGUGAAGCGUCCAUGUCCCGUGAUAAAAACUCUCUAUCUAGUCUUUGAUGUAUUCCUCUUCUUUCACCAGCACAUGUUAAGAGAAUUUACUCUCGUCCACCCUAACGAGAUGAUCCAAUCUUGCUAUAUAUGCCUUGCCUGCAUUCCUCGAGAGAAAGUAAUUGUUGUACUCAUCUCUUUAAAUCAAAGUUUCAUGCAUACAUCCCUGCAAAGCUUAUGAACUCAUUCUCUCAUAGUCAAAAUGGUUUUGUCAAUACACCUUAAAAACAGUUAUGAUGGCAUUAUAAUCUAUACAUAUAUAAUGAUAACAUUUUUUCCUGCUCGAAGUGGGCAAGAAUAAUGAAGAUGGUAAAAAGCACACAUUUAAGGCUCUGUCGGUGGCUCACAGUCCUAAAACAAAGGCUACAGCCUAAAGGGUUGCUUAGAGUUUUAGCUUCUAUAUGCAAUCCAUAAUAUAGCACAUAAAUAGAUUUGUGAGGGUCCAUUUGUCAUGCUUUUUCCAGUCAGAUGUGGAUUCUCAAACAUGUAGUAGGGUUCGACUUCCAUUUCCCACUCAAUCAUGGCAUCUGAUACCACGGAGAGACUGUGUUCUUCGGUCAUACAGUACAGUGUCGUCUUUACAGAUCCAUCCUAUGAGGCUACACCAACUAAAAAAAGAGGGUGAAGAAAUAUCUCUUGGGAGAUUUAUGUCAACAUCCCUAACGUGAUCAAUCAGCUGCCAUGAGUUUGCUUCUUCAAGGUCACACCAGGCGUCUCAAUGUGACUUCUUUUUCUUUCUCUUCUGCUUGUGGGGGAGUUCGCAUGUCACAUCUGCAAGUUCUCCUUGUCAAAAGCCACAUCAAAAUGAAGUUUGUUUUGACCUUCUUUCUUGAAGAAGUUGAUGAAUCGUCAAUGGUCUAUCGCAAGUGCAGAUGUUCACGAGGG
rnacentral:lncRNA from 1 species